rnacentral:rRNA from 1 species
GAUGAACGCUGGCGGCGUGCCUAAUACAUGCAAGUCGAGCGAACAGACGAGGAGCUUGCUCCUCUGACGUUAGCGGCGGACGGGUGAGUAACACGUGGAUAACCUACCUAUAAGACUGGGAUAACUUCGGGAAACCGGAGCUAAUACCGGAUAAUAUAUUGAACCGCAUGGUUCAAUAGUGAAAGACGGUUUUGCUGUCACUUAUAGAUGGAUCCGCGCCGCAUUAGCUAGUUGGUAAGGUAACGGCUUACCAAGGCAACGAUGCGUAGCCGACCUGAGAGGGUGAUCGGCCACACUGGAACUGAGACACGGUCCAGACUCCUACGGGAGGCAGCAGUAGGGAAUCUUCCGCAAUGGGCGAAAGCUUGACGGAGCAACGCCGCGUGAGUGAUGAAGGUCUUCGGAUCGUAAAACUCUGCUAUUAGGAAAGAACAAAUGUGUAAGUAACUAUGCACGUCUUGACGGUACCUAAUCAGAAAGCCACGGCUAACUACGUG